GUUGCAGUUAUAGCUCCAUCCUUCGUGAAGUUGCUACUCGCAGCAAGGCUUUUAAUAGAGAUGCCCAUAAUCUUGUUAAAAGCGCUGCGUCACUUGAAGACGGCCGAUUCACUUGGCUUAUCCAGCCUUGGGAUGACUCUGGUAUAACAAUGUCUAUUGAUUAAUAAAGGCCGGUCUUUCGCUCAAAAAAAAAACUUUUAUGUCUGUCUGCGCUAAAAAAAACUGUUAUGUCUGUCUCUUCCUUUCUCUCUCUGUAUAUGUCCCUGUUUAUUCAGAACUAGCAAUAACACACCUCUUUUAGUUACCAUAUAUUUCUAGUCGGGUCAAUUUCAGCACUGCUCUUUUCAAUUGCACC
rnacentral:lncRNA from 1 species